rnacentral:lncRNA from 1 species
AAUUGCUUAUUUAAAAAUUAUCUUUAGAAAAGUAAAAUAAUUUAGUCUGAAAAACAACCAUAUAUAUAUAUAUUACCCUAUAGCUAGUCAACCUUGGCCAGAAUAAAAUAACGAACCGUUUCGGUGUUCUCAGGAGUAAUUUUUUCCUCAACGACGAAGGACCAGAGGUCAAUGUUAUCGCCAUUCUUAAGUUUAUAUAUUUCCACAACGUCAUUCCAACCUUCUUCAUCAAAAGAAUAUGUCCCAUUUUCGUUCUUGACAAAAACUAGACUGCAC